UACGUAGGGUGCAAGCGUUAAUCGGAAUUACUGGGCGUAAAGCGUGCGCAGGCGGUUCGCUAAGACCGAUGUGAAAUCCCCGGGCUUAACCUGGGAACUGCAUUGGUGACUGGCGAGCUAGAGUAUGGCAGAGGGGGGUAGAAUUCCACGUGUAGCAGUGAAAUGCGUAGAGAUGUGGAGGAAUACCGAUGGUGAAGGCAGCCCCCUGGGCCUGCACUGACGCUCAUGCACGAAAGCGUGGGGAGCAAACAGG
rnacentral:rRNA from 1 species